CCAGGCACAUAAUAAUAAUAGCAACCACUGGCAUUGUUCUUUCUGUAGUUAGUACUCACUUCCUUAGGCUUUAUAAUGCCCCAUUCUUGUGAUGUGAGAUGUUAAGUUCACCAACUUUUUCACCAAGAGUGGGGACACAGAAUGAAAGGCAGCCAUCAGGGGUAAUGCGUUUGUUUUCUGUUGGAUUUGAGCAAAUGUGUACAUGACAGGAAGAAUAAAGUGAGGAGAGUGAAAAUCCACCAACACAGCUUUUGUCUCCACAGCUGAAAGAGUGAAACAAGAGAACCUGAACCUCAUCUGUAUUCCCUCUUCCUUACAGCCAAGAUUUGGAAGCAGCCCAAGUGCCCAUUAUUAGAUGAGCAAUGGAACAGCAGUGAUACCUUUACACAAUGGAAUACUACUAGGCCAAAAAAAGACAAUCUUACCCUUUGUGGCAGCAUGGAUGAACCUGGAAGAACAUUGUGAUACAUGCUACCACCUUGAUGGACCUUGAAGACACUAUGCUCAGUGAAAUAAGCCCAUCACGAAAAGACAAAUGGUGUGUGGUUCCACUCGUAGGAGGUCCCUAGAGUCUUCAGUGUCUUAGAGACAGAAAAAGAGACCACAUCAUUCUGGAGCCACCUAGAUGGGCCAGGUCCAUGGCCAGCCAUCCCCAUACUGAUGACAACCAUGAGCUCGGGACAGAAUAGAAAAGGCUGGUAAUUGCGGUAUCUGGCAAGGAAGCAUCAGCGAAGAGACCAGCACAGUGGUGACCUGACAGGUUUUCCCUCCUUGAUAUCAGCUUUGUCCUAAAGACAGUGAAUCUCAGCACUGCUCCAUGGGCAGGACAGGAAUGACUCAGAGAGGACUGGACAAGAGGCUUGUUGCAGCCAGAGUGGGGGACUGCCAGGGACCAUUUUCUCUUCUCCUUUCCUGGUUCUGCUCCUACUCUGAAGUUGCAGCCAUGCUGGGGUAUAAUCUCCUAAAAUGCUGAUGAAAACCUGCCUCUGGCAAGAACCUGGGAAAAGGAAUCCUGUACUCCAAAGAAUUUGGAAAAAUCCUGCUUAUUUUCCCCCUCUUUUUCUCUUGCCACUUUGUUUUGAAAACCACUCAGUUAUGGAAGCUGUAGUACAGUCCCUGCAUGGGGCAGGAGGGGAGAGGAAUCUAAGAUUCUGAGAGAAACAGAUUCUAGCCGAUAGAUCCGGUGCAGGAGAAGACAGGAGCUGGGUCCACAGAGAACACACCCCAGAGGCCAGCACAGGCUGACACGGAACUGUGGUCUGAUCUUAAUGUUCCCACAGACUCAAACAGUGGUCCCUCAACCUUGGCCAUUAAGUGGUGGGAAGACAGACCGUGAAACCCCAUCCACUAAGGGCAACACAUUACUAGCUUCACCUGAAGUUUGAGGGAGAAAACAAUUGAAUUUGAAUGGGCGCAGAGGUCAAGCAUAAGAAGGCCAGAGCUCUGGAGCCCCAGCCUGCAAACCUGCCAUGCCCUGGAUUCUAGUUUUGAGAACAAGUUUAUUUUGUGCAAAUCUAUUUUUCUUUUGCAUUUUCAGUUUCUUUCUUAUGAUCCUGUGUCUAAGACUGAAUUUCUUGUCUGAAAGGUAAACAUAAGCAAGUGAAGAGCAGCUCUCAGCCCUCAGCAUGGCUGGGGGAGGGAGGUGCUAAUUCACAUCAAGUUCCAGAGAAGGCACAGCCCAGCCGGACCUCAGCACCACCUCCCUCCUGGGAGUCCAGGCAAAGUUCUGUUUGUGCCAUUAACUGGGUGUGUCAGGUGGGGUCAGCCUGCUGAUGGCCCACCAGUCCUGGUUCACAUGGUAAAUGUGGAGCUACUGGGACCAAAUCCAUGCCCCUCUGCGCGUAUUCAGGUGUAGCACCCUACUUCUCAGUCAUGUGGGCUUCACUGACAUUCUGACAUCUCAGGGGGAGAUUCUAUUCCUGUCAUCAUUGUGAGGAGGGGACGGGUAUGGGUAACAGGCCUCCUCAAGGAAUGGCUCCAUGAGUCCUCCGUGACACCUCCCCUUCCGUGACACGUGGGAUGGUUUAGCACUGAGUCACACUAUAGGUAGGAAGUAAUGCCUGCACAUCCAUAUGGUCCCUUUUCUGCCCUUAUCCCCAGUGAGAAUUUGCUGGGGGAGAGACCAGAACUUUCUGCCAGAUUCCAUUGUGUUUGAGGCAUUUAUAGAGUAUGGCAUUUGUAACCAGCUCAUGGAAGCCUUCAGCUCCUGAGGUUUGCUCACUUCUGCUCCCCCUCUGCAAGUUCCCUAUUCUUUAUGCAUUGGGUCACUUAAUGAGUAAAACCAUUACUGGCCUAGGGGAUAGGAAAUGCCAGCUGAAAUGACCUCAGAGUGAAAGAAAAUUAAUAUGUACCCUGACUUGAUGUGUCUUAGAAGUCAGCCCAUCUCUGACUACACACAGGUCUACUUGAGAACAUUUUAAUGUUACUUCUUAACAGUAAUUUCUUUGACUUUAUCACCCUCAACCCCACCCACUAUCAAAUGACCAGAGAAAUAUGAACGGUCACCUUGAAGCACCUCUCUGGUGAUACUACAGUAGGAGCUGGAACAUGAUACAUCGCAGGGACAGCAGGAGGCAGCUGCCUUGCACUGGACAGCGGCAGGAGUGACGGACUGAGUACUUUUCAUUAAUAGAGCCUGCAUCCUGCCCAGUGCCAUCCCAACGCCCUUUAAGCACAGUUGCUUAAUGUAUUGUUGCUGGCAGUUAAGCAGACUGCAGCUUAAUUUGUGGUGUGAGGUCAACUGAACUUCACUCUGUAAUCUUCACUCUGCUGUGGAUUCAGGUCUAUUCUUCGGUUCCAAGGCAGCAAUUUAGAAUUCUUUUUUUUUUUUUUAAUCCUCACAUGAGAACAAUUUUUCAUUGCUUUUGGAGAGGAUGGACAAGAGGAAGAGAAAGAGAGAAACUUCAGUGUGAGAGAAAAGCAUUGAUUGCUUGCCUCCCAUAUGCACCUUGACCGGGAAUCAAUCCCACAACCUUUCAGUCACAGGACAGUGGUCCAACCAACUGAGCUGUACCAGCCAGGGCUAGAAUUCAUUUUUUCGUAACAAGAAAAAAAUUAGUUUAUCCAAAGGAGGAAAGGUAAGUAGAUUAGAAUUCUGUCUUACUUAUAGAAGAGAGGACAAGAAGAAAGAUUUUGAUUUAUAUACCAGAACAAUUUACAUUAUGCAGGGUUAUGAUUUUGUGGUUAUAAUUUUAAAAGCGAGUUAGGAAACCCUUUGGCUGCUGGAAUGGCUAUGGGAUGUGUGUUCAGAUACUGGAAAUCUUUAGAGCAUUCACUCGACUACACUGCAGUCUCCUGAUUUCAAUAAAUUAGAAAGCAGAUGAACAC